UGGGGAAUCUUGCGCAAUGGGCGAAAGCCUGACGCAGCGACGCCGCGUGGGUGAUGAAGGCCUUCGGGUUGUAAAGCCCUGUGGGGAGAGACGAAUAAGUCAUGGUUAAUAUCCCUGGCGAUGACGGUAUCUCCUUAGCAAGCACCGGCUAACUCUGUGCCAGCAGCCGCGGUAAGACAGAGGGUGCAAACGUUGUUCGGAAUUACUGGGCGUAAAGCGUGUGUAGGCGGCUCUGCAAGUCGGAUGUGAAAGCCCCGGGCUCAACCUGGGAAGUGCACUCGAAACUGCUGAGCUUGAGUAUCGGAGAGGUCGGUGGAAUUCUCGGUGGAGAGGUGAAAUUCGUAGAUAUCGAGGGGAACACCAGUGGCGAAGGCGGCCGACUGGACGAAUACUGACGCUGAGACACGAAAGCGUGGGGAGCAAACAG
rnacentral:rRNA from 1 species